UUUGAGAACAAACUAAACAGAAAACUACAACCUCGUACCUAACUUGUCUUCUAUCUUGUUCCUCAACCUCCUUCCGGAGAAAAUCAAAGAUACUCUGAAAUUUUAGAUCUAUCAAUCCAGAGAUGGUUUUUGGGUCAUCAGAUCAGAUCAAAUCAAACUCCUGCAUAAAUUACUCAAGUGUAGGGGUCAAUCUCUACUCUGUUGCUGGAACUCAAUUCACAGAUAUGAUGAAGAGGUUGACAUUAUUGUGGCCGUCCAUGAGUUGUUUGCUGAAUGUGGAUGGGCUUUGCUGUGCUGGUAAAAUAGUGAAGGAGAGGAAGGAACAUUACUUGACUUAAACUAGCAACCAAAUUUCUUUUGCCCUUAGAUAUGAAACUGAAAUCAAGUUCGCAGUCACACUAUGAGUAAAGUGUUAUAGGAUUAUUUAAUCUUAAAAGAGUCUACCACCUAUAAUAAGUGAGUGAGAUUCAAAUACUUCGGCAGAUAUGUUGAGAGAAUUUCAGGAAGGAGAAGCUGACGAUAUUCGGUUCUUGACACUGGAGGAUCUUGCCAAUAUUUCCUUCAAGAAGGUCCUAAUUAUUAUGAGAAUGCUUUAGAUUGUUGUCUUCAAGCUAAAGAGAUAGAUAAUAAAGACUGUUGUUCGGUACCAACUAGGAGCACUAUCAUGUUCGGUGAGCUAGUUAAGUGUAUCACGCUGGGCAUUUGAGCAAGGGGUUUAAUGCAGCAUUAACAAUUGAACUUCAUGAAGCAAUUAUUGGAAGUCCUAAUCGCUAUUCGUGGUGAGGUUGCUUGUCUUUCUGUGGCAGAGUUGAUUCUGGGCCAGAAGUUGUACUGAAUCAAUAUGAUCUAGUAAAUGGAAAGCCGACUUCUAAACGAUCUAAGAUUCUUUACGAAAAUGCUGACGCUCAGGAAAGCAGUGGAGCACAAGCUUGUCAAACAUUCAGAAAACAGCAACGGGAUAAAUUUAAUAGAGGUAUGGAUACUGGAUUGAGUAUAAAGCCGUCUACCAGAUUAGAAAUUGUCCUGGGAUCCGCAGAAAGAGAAAACAUGUCUUAAGUUGAUGGUACCCCACGUCGAGGUAUAUUUGAGUUGGCACCGGAGGAAGCUGCUUGUACUGACAUUUGCAGCAAACAUGGCCGAAUAUACUAAAACAAAUAAAGCAUUUCGUCUGAAGCCCAAUCCAAAAUCACAUUCAGGCUUGGAUUCUGCUGAGCAGAAAGCAUAUGCAUAGCAAUGGCUAUUUAGGACUUCGUUUGCUUUAGCAGCUAUCAAUGAUGCAGAUUCUGCUGCUCAGUGGGAACCAUUAGCUCCAACUAAAGAAUCUCAG